rnacentral:rRNA from 1 species
CUCUCUUUGUUGGUUAUCACAUAAAGAGUUGGGCCUGCUCGGUGAACAAAAGUUUUAACAGCUGCGGUAUUUUAACUGUACUAAGGUAGCAUAAUAAUUUGCCUUAUAAUUUGAGGCUGGAAUGAAUGGUUUGACGAAGGUUUAUCUGUCUCUAUCUUAUUUUUUAGAAUUUAAUUUUAAAKUGAAAAAGCUUUAAUAAUUUAAAGGGACGAGAAGACCCUAUUGAGCUUAUAAUUUUAUUGAAGUAUAUUAGUUUAUUUAUAUAGUUUGGUAUAAAUUUUAAUUGGGGUGAUUAAGGAAUAAAAAGGUAAAUAUUUACUAACUUCCUUAUAUAUAAAUAUUGUUAAAUUAAGUAUCCAAUAUUAAGUAUUGCUUAUAUUAGAUUACCAUAGGGAUAACAGCGUAAUUUGUUUAGAGAGUUCUUAUUAAAAAAUGAGAUUGCGACCUCGAUGUUGGAUUAAAGUAACCAUAAGGUGUAGAAGCUUUGUUAGGUAAAUCUGUUCGAUUUUUAAAAMUUUAC